rnacentral:rRNA from 1 species
AGCAGCCGCGGUAAUUCCAGCUCCAAUAGCGUAUAUUAAAGUUGUUGCAGUUAAAAAGCUCGUAGUUGAAUUUCGGGGUUAAUAAGCUGGUCGUGCCAAUGGUAUGUACUGGUUUUAUUGAUUCCUACCUCUUGACGAACUGUGAUGCCAUUAAUUUGGUGUCGCAAGGAAUCAGGACUGUUACCUUGAAAAAAUUAGAGUGUUUAAAGCAGGCUUACGCUUGAAUACAUUAGCAUGGAAUAAUGAAAUAGGACGUUUGAUCCUAUUUUGUUGGUUUCUAGGAUUGACGUAAUGAUUAAUAGGGAUAGUUGGGGGCAUUAGUAUUCAAUUGUCAGAGGUGAAAUUCUUGGAUUUAUUGAAGACUAACUACUGCGAAAGCAUUUGCCAAGGAUGUUUUCAUUAAUCAAGAACGAAAGUUAGGGAUCGAAGACGAUCAGAUACCGUCGUAGUCUUAACCAUAAACUAUGCCGACUAGGGAUCGGAUGAUGUUAAUUUUUAUGUACUUNAUUCGGCGCCUUAC